AAAAGUUGGUAGACGGUCUGAACUUCUUCCCCCACUACAUUUUCUUGACGCUGCCGCUGGUUUCUAGCGUCAAUGAAAUCGCAUCUUUUAGUUUAUCAACACGGGAAACGUGCUUAACCUAUUUUCAAUUUAUUUAUCAGAUUUGUUUAUGCCUAAUACCUGGCUACAUUUCACGUGCAAAAAUAUAGAUGCUUGAUGUCAUUGAUGUCAUUAAGAGGUAGAAAAGCAGUGGAAUAUCUCAUGCACUUCCAAGGUUGGAAUCUGUCUUGGGACAAACGCUAAAAGAGAAGCCAUAAAAUGUCAAAGCGCUUAAUCGAAACGAAACAGAGCAUCAAGAACCUCGUCGUAGAGCGAGAAGCAGUGGCAGUCGAGCUGCAUCAUCUACGACCGGAAUUUCCGAAGAUGGCAGUUCAGGCCAACACGCUGAUUAUUAUACAGAAGACGUAAACAUAGAAGAGGAUACAGAGAGUAGUUGUGAUUACAUGGGUGAAACAAGUGACGAUGUACACAGUGGGUGGUGGUAGCCAAUCUGGAGCCAGUAUGAAACCAUUAGGCGAUGAUCUUGAUACAGAUAGCACAUUAAAACGGAUUCUAGAGCAGGAUUAUGACCUAAUGAGUAAUAAGAACAAGCUUAUACUUCCGGCGCAACCUAUACUGUGAUAAAUAUUCCAGAAUCUCUGGCACAGCAUUUCACUACGACGCAGUUUACGAAUAUCCCAAAGAAACCUAACUCUCAUAUCGCAGUUUACGAAUAUCUCAGAGAAACUCUCUGAUUGUGUCGAUUAAUUAUUGAACAGAAAAAGGAAAAUACAAUAGCAAUGUUUUUUUUUACGUAUUAGGAUAAGCUGUGAUUAUAUAAAAAAAGAAAGAAAAAAAUAACGGAAAACAGAACCGAGCAGGAACAGGACGCAACAGU